ACUCCUACGGGAGGCAGCAGUGGGGAAUAUUGCACAAUGGGCGCAAGCCUGAUGCAGCCAUGCCGCGUGUAUGAAGAAGGCCUUCGGGUUGUAAAGUACUUUCAGCGGGGAGGAAGGUGUUGUGGUUAAUAACCGCAGCAAUUGACGUUACCCGCAGAAGAAGCACCGGCUAACUCCGUGCCAGCAGCCGCGGUAAU
rnacentral:rRNA from 3 species